UAUAUAGCAGUGUAGGGGCACGAAGAAUUUUGAUUUCUUAAGAGGGGCUCACAUCCCCCUAA
rnacentral:tRNA from 1 species